UCUCUCUCUCUCUCGGAAAUCUUAUUAAGUAAAUCUUACUGAUUUGGCAGGCCCAAACUUAAUGGGUGUGCGUGUGUUCCCAAGGCUUAGGACCAAGUCCUGUGGACCGGCAGUUCGCUGUCUAUGUAGGAUCCACGAAGGGAUGAGGCCCACAUCUUGAAAAGCUGAAGACCAACGGUGGAGGAAUGCUAAUUGUCACCCUUGAAGCUGCAGGACAGUACAAGAAACCCAUCUUGGGUGAAUGAGCUUUUGGUGACAGUGGCACUGGGCUUAACAAACAUCCAGAUGAAGAAGAGAAGUUGACACAGAACUCAGUGGUUAGCAGCUCAGUUACAUUAUUUUUGAUUCAAGUACUCACUGAGAAAUCACUACCCUAUAAACAGAAUCAAGAUAAGAUUUAUUUCCAGUCUUCAAGAGUUGACUCAUGGGUAAGACAACCACACAAAUUUAACACAAAACAAAAACACGUUAAAAUAUAUUCAUGACAUAAGAGGUUGAAUAAAAAAAGCAACAUCAAAGAAAUGAUUAAAUAAACCUAGUUGAAUAAGGGACAUAGCAUUCAAUACAUGCUCAAAGAAAAAAAAAUGCUCAAAGAGUGAAUAAAACCAUUUUUUUCCUUUUA